UACGUAGGGUGCAAGCAUUAUCCGGAGUGGCUGGGCGUAAAGAGUUGCGUAGGUGGUUUGUUAAGCGAAUAGUGAAAUCUGGCGGCUCAACCGUACAGACUAUUAUUCGAACUGGCAAACUCGAGAAUGGUAGAGGUAACUGGAAUUUCUUGUGUAGGAGUGAAAUCCGUAGAUAUAAGAAGGAACACCAAUGGCGUAGGCAGGUUACUGGACCAUUUCUGACACUGAGGCACGAAAGCGUGGGGAGCGAACCGG
rnacentral:rRNA from 1 species